rnacentral:rRNA from 1 species
CGUAGGGCGCAAGCGUUAUCCGGAAUUAUUGGGCGUAAAGAGCUCGUAGGCGGUUUGUCGCGUCUGCCGUGAAAGUCCGGGGCUCAACUCCGGAUCUGCGGUGGGUACGGGCAGACUAGAGUGAUGUAGGGGAGACUGGAAUUCCUGGUGCAGCGGUGAAAUGCGCAGAUAUCAGGAGGAACACCGAUGGCGAAGGCAGGUCUCUGGGCAUUAACUGACGCUGAGGAGCGAAAGCAUGGGGAGCGAACAGG